GCCGCGAGUUCUCCCUGGCCGCCGGCCAGGCCCGGGCCGCGAGCUCCGCCCACCGCCCGGUCGCGUCUCUCGCCCUGGCGGCCCGCGCUCCCCGGCAGCGGCGGGGCCCGCAGGCGGCCAUGGCGGCGGGCGCCGGGGCCAGGCCGGCUCUGCGCUGGCUCAAGUCGCUGGGCGAGCCGCUGGGCGCUCCGCAGCUGCGUCGGCUGGAGGAGCACCGCUACAGCGCGGCGGGUGUGUCGCUGCUCGAGCCGCCGCUGCAGCUCUUCUGGACCUGGCUGCUCCAGUGGUGCCCGCUGUGGCUGGCCCCCAACUCCAUCACCCUGCUGGGCCUUGCCGUCAACCUGCUCACCACGCUCCUGCUCGUGUCCUACUGCCCCACGGCCACCGAGGAGGCCCCCUACUGGACAUACCUUUUAUGUGCUCUGGGACUCUUUGUCUAUCAGUCGCUGGAUGCUAUUGAUGGGAAGCAAGCCAGAAGAACAAAUUCUUGUUCUCCUUUAGGGGAACUUUUUGACCAUGGUUGUGACUCUCUUUCCACAGUUUUCAUGGCACUUGGAGCUUCACUUGCUGUUCGCUUAGGAACUAAUCCUGACUGGCUGUUUUUCUGUUCUUUUAUUGGGAUGUUCAUGUUUUAUUGUGCUCAUUGGCAGACUUAUGUUUCAGGCGUGUUGAGGUUUGGAAAAGUGGAUGUAACUGAAAUUCAGCUAGCAUUAGUGAUGGUCUUUGUGCUGUCUGCAUUCGGAGGAGCCGCAAUGUGGGACUAUCUGAUACCAUUUGUAGACAUAAAAUUGAAGAUCCUCCCAGUUCUUGGAGUAAUAGGUGGAGCAGUAUUUUCCUGUUCAAAUUAUUUCCAUGUUAUCCUUCAUGGUGGUGUUGGCAAGAAUGGAUCUACUAUAGCAGGUACCAGUGUUUUAUCACCUGGACUCCACAUAGGAAUAAUUAUUAUACUGGCAAUAGUGAUCUAUAAAAAGUCAGCAACUAAUGUGUUUGAAAAGCAUCCUUGUCUGUAUACCCUAAUGUUUGGAUGUGUGUUUGCUAAAGUCUCCCAAAAAUUGGUGAUAGCUCACAUGACCAAAAGUGAACUGUAUCUUCAAGACACUGCCUUUUUUGGCCCAGGUCUAUUAUUUCUAGACCAGUACUUUAAUAAUUUUGUAGACGAAUAUAUUGUUCUUUGGAUAGCAAUGGACAGAGAGAAAUGGAGAGGAGGGGAAGAUGGGGGAGAGAGAAAGAUAAACACCUGCAUACCUGCUUCACUGCCUGUGAUGCAGGUAAGGAGCACCACCUCUGCAGGUCAUCUCUUCGUUUGAUAUGAUAAUGUACUUUAGUUCCUUGUGUGUGCAGAUAUCAAGACAUCUUCAUAUAAAUAUCUUCAAGACAUCAUGUCAUCAGGCACCUGAACAGGUUCAAGUUCUUCCUUCAAAGAGUCCUCAGAAUAGCAUGGGUUGAAGAGACUUUCGAACAUUUGCCAUCUCUUGCUGCUGCUGUUACAUGAAAGGAGAUAUUAAACAUUUGUUUAACUUUUAGAUAAGUGUUAUACAUAUUUCAGCAAAUAAAAUAUUUCAGUGCUA